rnacentral:rRNA from 1 species
UACGGAGGGUGCGAGCGUUGUUCGGAAUCACUGGGCGUAAAGCGCGUGUAGGCGGUCCGUUAAGUCUGAUGAGAAAGCCCGGGGCUCACCCCCGGAAGUGCAUUGGAAACUGACAGACUGGAGUCCCGGAGAGGAGGGUGGAAUUCCUGGUGUAGCGGUGAAAUGCGUAGAUAUCAGGAGGAACACCGGUGGCGAAGGCGGCCCUCUGGACGGUGACUGACGCUGAGACGCGAAAGCGUGGGGAGCAAACAGG